UACGGAGGGUGCAAGCGUUAUCCGGAUUCACUGGGUUAAAGGGUGCGUAGGCGGGUAUAUAAGUCAGUGGUGAAAGCUCCGGGCUUAACUUGGAAACUGCCAUUGAUACUGUAUAUCUUGAAUAUCGUAGAGGUUAGCGGAAUGUUGCAUGUAGCGGUGAAAUGCUUAGAUAUGUUACAGAACACCAAUUGCGAAGGCAGCUAACUAUGCGAUGAUUGACGCUGAGGCACGAAAGCGUGGGGAGCAAACAGG
rnacentral:rRNA from 1 species